AUGAGAGUUUGAUCCUGGCUCAGGACGAACGCUGGCGGCGUGCCUAAUACAUGCAAGUCGAACGCUUCUUUUUCCACCGGAGCUUGCUCCACCGGAAAAAGAGGAGUGGCGAACGGGUGAGUAACACGUGGGUAACCUGCCCAUCAGAAGGGGAUAACACUUGGAAACAGGUGCUAAUACCGUAUAACAAUCAAAACCGCAUGGUUUUGAUUUGAAAGGCGCUUUCGGGUGUCGCUGAUGGAUGGACCCGCGGUGCAUUAGCUAGUUGGUGAGGUAACGGCUCACCAAGGCCACGAUGCAUAGCCGACCUGAGAGGGUGAUCGGCCACAUUGGGACUGAGACACGGCCCAAACUCCUACGGGAGGCAGCAGUAGGGAAUCUUCGGCAAUGGACGAAAGUCUGACCGAGCAACGCCGCGUGAGUGAAGAAGGUUUUCGGAUCGUAAAACUCUGUUGUUAGAGAAGAACAAGGAUGAGAGUAACUGUUCAUCCCUUGACGGUAUCUAACCAGAAAGCCACGGCUAACUACGUGCCAGCAGCCGCGGUAAUACGUAGGUGGCAAGCGUUGUCCGGAUUUAUUGGGCGUAAAGCGAGCGCAGGCGGUUUCUUAAGUCUGAUGUGAAAGCCCCCGGCUCAACCGGGGAGGGUCAUUGGAAACUGGGAGACUUGAGUGCAGAAGAGGAGAGUGGAAUUCCAUGUGUAGCGGUGAAAUGCGUAGAUAUAUGGAGGAACACCAGUGGCGAAGGCGGCUCUCUGGUCUGUAACUGACGCUGAGGCUCGAAAGCGUGGGGAGCAAACAGGAUUAGAUACCCUGGUAGUCCACGCCGUAAACGAUGAGUGCUAAGUGUUGGAGGGUUUCCGCCCUUCAGUGCUGCAGCUAACGCAUUAAGCACUCCGCCUGGGGAGUACGACCGCAAGGUUGAAACUCAAAGGAAUUGACGGGGGCCCGCACAAGCGGUGGAGCAUGUGGUUUAAUUCGAAGCAACGCGAAGAACCUUA
rnacentral:rRNA from 1 species